rnacentral:rRNA from 1 species
CAGUAGCGUAUAUUAAAGUUGUUGCAGUUAAAAAGCUCGUAGUUGGACGUCUCUUCAGAAGCUCUCACGAGUGUUCUGGAGAUCUGCCUAACAGCUCCAUAUGGCGUUCACUCGUCGAUGGUGAGAUGUGGGCCCUUACCUUGAGGAAACUAGAGUGUUUAAGGCAGGCUUCUGCCCGAAUACCGCAGCUGGGAAUAAUGCGCUCGAAAUGUCUUGGCGAGACACUUCGAUUUCAUUAAUAGGGACAGUUGGGGACAUUCGUACUCAGCAGUCAGAGGUGAAAUUCUUGGAUUUGCUGAAGACGGACUAGUGCGAAAGCAUUUGCCAAAGAUGUUUUCAUUAA